AUGAGGCCAAUGGUGGAAACUGAGGCAGAACUGGAGGUGCGGUCCUGGGCCGUGAGCACCUGCUCCGGGUCCAUCCUCCAGGAUGGGGCCCUGGGGAAGCGGGGGCCGAAGGUCAUCGGAUCUACAGGUUUGGUCUCAGUUUCUGGCCCAGCCGGGUCCCCACGUCGCCCACGCACCGGCCUGAAACAGCUCGCGGGGUGGAGCCCACAGCCCGGGGAGGCGCGCGCCGCGCCCUCGCACCCAGCCCGGCGCCUCUCCCCACCUCGUCCCGCCCCAGUCGCGCCGGGCCCGCGCGGCCCCUCCCGCCCGAGGUCUCACCCCUCUCCCCCCCCCCCCGCCCCUUCCAGGCAAGAAGUGCACCUACGGCGUCAAGUGCAAGUUCUUCCACCCCGAGAGGCCGCGCGCGGCGCCGCUGGCGGUGGCCGACGAGCUGCGCGCGCAGACGCGGGCUGGGCGGGGCGCGGGCGGCGAGGCGGGGCGGCGGCGGGGCGCGCGCGCGGCGGGCGGGGCGGGGCGGGGCGGGCCCCGGGGCGCUGCGGCCGAGCCGGGCGCGCGCAGCCUGCCCCCCCCGCGGCCCGCGCCCGACGCCGCGGCGCUCGGAGGCCGCUUCUCGCGGCUGAACCUCGGCGGCGACCCGGGGCUCGGCGCGGCGCCCCCCGCGGACGCCGGCCCCGCGCCCCGGCCGCCCGGGGGGCGCUGCCCCGGGGCCGCGCACGCCGACCUGCCGCCCCAGCGCCGGCGGGCGGCCGAGGCGCGCGCCCUCCCUCCGGAGGCCGGCGGGUUCGCGGGCCGCUCGGCCUGGGCGGAAGGCGGCUGGGGCGACGGCGCCUCCGGGGGGCCCGCGGGGGAGGCGCGCGCGCGGGCGCGCAGGGCGCUCUGCGGCCUCUUCCCGCCGCAGCAGGUGGACAGCGUCAUGGCCCUGUUCCCCGCGCUCUCCGACGUCGCCAGGCUCAUCCUGCUCAUCCAGAAAUUCCAGAGGUCGGGGGCGCCUGUGGGGAAGUCCUGAGAACUCGUCCUUGCCACCGCCAGGGAUGUCGCAGCCUCGCCUGGCCACUUGGGCCGGCGGCGGGUGGACGCCUGCACCUGGGGCACAGCCCCUGCACUGUGCACCCCCUUUCCCUUAAAGACGGUCGGGGGCCAGCUUCCUCAGCCUCAGCCUGCCCGUGGUGGCACCCGAUGACCCUCGCGGACACUGCGGGGCCUGCCGCUGCAGCUCCAGUCCUGCAGAGUAAGGCCGGCCCCUUCCAUGGACCGAGUGGUCUCUUCUGUCUGGAAGACCACUCGGCCCCUGACGGCCCCAAGGGUUUGUCCAGAACACUCCAUGGCUGUUUGGCAAGCCGCAACUGGGAUCCACGAGUGGGUCACAAGAUCAGUGUAAUGGGUCACGCCAGAAAGGGUGGCAGAGGAAAUCCCAGAGCCCACUCCGCGCCACCGAGCGAAGUAGGAGACUCCCGCGUGCUAGCUCCGUGGGUGUGCCCCGGUGUGCCCCGGGUGCCCUGGCCAGCCCUGCAAACUGAAUGCGGGUCACCGGCAAACGUUUGA
rnacentral:lncRNA from 1 species